UGCCGUCUUUCUGUGCCAUCGUCAUGGUGCACGCGAAUGUCCUGGCUGAUGCUCUCAAGAGCAUCAACAAUGCCAAAAAGAGAGGCAAACACUAGGUUCUUAUCAGCUGUGCUCCAAAGUCAUCAUCCAGUUUCUGACUGUGAUGAUGAAGCAUGGUUACAUUGGCGAAUUUGAAAUCAUUGAUAAUCAGAGAGCUGGGAAAAUUGUUGUGAACAUCAUGGGCAGGUUAAACAAGUGUGGAGUCAUCAGCCCCAGAUUUGAUGCGCAACUCAAAGAUCUGGAAAAAUGGCAGAAUAACCUGCUCUUGUCCCAUCAGUGUGGUUUCAUUAUACUAACAACCUCAGCUGGUGUCAAGGACCACGAAGAAGCAAGACGAAAACACACAGAAGGGAAAAUCCUGGGAUUCUUUUUCUAGGGAUGUAAUACACAUGUGCAAAUAAAACGCCUCAAUGGAAAAAAAAAAAAAA